GAAACAAUGAUUAAACAAUGCAGAUGUCACAGUGAUUCCAGAUGGCUGCUUCUAGAGGAAGCGAGAAUUUCUGACUCCAAAAUUGUGUGGUAGCAGAGACCUCCCCCCAACUGCUCUUAAGUGGGAGAACCAUAUGCUUUGAACUUCCUGCUCAGGAAUUAUGAGAAGACAUCUGGUGUUAGUUCACAAGUUAGAGAUUAAGUUGUUCUCACCAAUCCGGGGGAUCUGCCUCGCCAGUGUCCAAAGGAGUGUGAACUACAAUACUCUGUCUUCUCAAAAGGAGAAGUCUUGAAAGCUGGAAAGUCCAAGAUUAUGGUGCUGGAGGAUUCAGUGUCUGGUGAAGACCCUCUUCUGAGCUGUAGACUGCUGACUUCUCUCCGUGCCCUCUCUGUAAAAGGAAGAGUGCUGUUAUUUUGAGACAAGAGACAAGAGACAAGACAAGAGACAAGAGACAAGACAAGAGACAACAUAACCUUUUAGGAAAGCUUGCAGGUCUGGCCUUCAGCAACAAGGAGAUUGGGUUUAGUCCCAAACCUACCACUUUCGAGAGCACAGGCUCCGGACAUGCAGGCUUAGCGGCCACGGCUCAC